CCUACGGGAGGCAGCAGUGGGGAAUAUUGGACAAUGGGCGAAAGCCUGAUCCAGCCAUGCCGCGUGAGUGAUGAAGGCCCUAGGGUUGUAAAGCUCUUUCACCGGGGAAGAUAAUGACGGUACCCGGAGAAGAAGCCCCGGCUAACUUCGUGCCAGCAGCCGCGGUAAUACGAAGGGGGCUAGCGUUGUUCGGAAUUACUGGGCGUAAAGCGCACGUAGGCGGAUCAGCCAGUUAGGGGUGAAAUCCCGGGGCUCAACCCCGGAACUGCCUUUAAUACUGUUGGUCUCGAGUUCGAGAGAGGUGAGUGGAAUUCCGAGUGUAGAGGUGAAAUUCGUAGAUAUUCGGAGGAACACCAGUGGCGAAGGCGGCUCACUGGCUCGAUACUGACGCUGAGGUGCGAAAGCGUGGGGA
rnacentral:rRNA from 1 species